rnacentral:lncRNA from 10 species
AAAUAUGUCUAAAGUUUUAUUAAAAAUUGGGUUUAACAUUAAUAAUACAUUAAUACAAUAAUAAUAAUAAUGCAAUAAUAUACAGUCUGAAAAGGGGAGGCAUGAAUAAUCCACCUCUUGUUUAGCUUAUCAUCAAAAAAUAACCAUAAAAAUGAGCAAUCAGCAGCCCUCGGGGCUGCCCAUCUAUGGAGUAGCCAUUCUUUUAUUCCUUUACUUUCUUAAUAAACUUGCUUUCACUUUGUGCUGCAGACUCACCCUGAAUUCUUUCUUGGCAUGAGAUCCACCAACCCUCUUGGGGUCUGGAUCAGGACCCCUUUUUCCUGUAACACUUCCUUUGUUGGCCUGACAAAUCUGUUUUGUCGUUGUUGUUGUGUUUUUUGUUUUUUGAGACCGUCUCGCUCUGUUGCCCAGGCUGGAGUGCAGUGGUGUAGUCACAGCUCACUGAAGCCUCCACCUCCCAGGCUCAAGCGAUCCUACCACCCGGCCUCCUGAGUAUCUGAAACUGCAGAGGUGCACUACCAUGCCUAACUAAUUUUUAUAUUUUUUGUAGAGAUAGGGUUUCAUCAUGCUGCCCAAGCCAAGAAUUCCUGGCCUCGAGCGAUCCACCCGCCUCAGCCUCCCAGAGUGCUGGGAUUAUAAGCGUGAGCCACCACGCCCAGCCCAAAUCUCUUUAUUAUUCUAGUUCCAGCAUAAAGGAAGCCUGAUUCGGCACACAGUCUAGGAAAGCCACAGAUCUGAGGAUGCAGGAGGAGAAACAAGGCAAUUUUCUAAAGCUAGAAGACCAUAAAUUGUCUCCUUCCCAUGUUAGCAAACCAAAGUCUCUGGGUGUUACUGACUGGCUGCCAACACUUGGGUUUUUAAUUAGACCAGAUCUGGCUCUGUUACAGGUGGUCUUCUGCAGACACAUGAGGUGGUUGGCCCAGGGUUGUGGCAUCCGGCAGCCUCAGCUGAGUACGUGCAGUGCCCGAACCAGGGUGGAGUCACCCAGUUAGCCAUGUGCAGUGUGCCUCGCGCGACAGCAGCCUAGGAGACCAGACAGGUUGAUGACUCAUGCUACCUCCAUGCUAGCACUCACCACGCUGCACUACAAAUGCCAGUUUUAUGUUCUCUCCCAGUAGACAUGAGUGACUAGAGCGUUUCUUUGUCAAUGUUAUGUCUCCAGUCACCCAGCCCCUGGCCCACUGUUGGAAACAGAAAGUAUAAACCAAAAAUAAAAUUCUAAGCCCUCCAAUUGACUGAAUAGACGCCCCCUUCUUAGCCUGGGGACCCAAAGAAACCUGAAAAACUAGUUCAGGCCACGAUGGGAAGGUGGAGUCAGACAUGCCAUAUCCUCUUCUCCCUUUGGAGUUCAGGCGCAACUGACCAACAUUAACAGUAAAACAGAGAUCCUCAGACUGACAAAACAGGCUCUCUGUGGCAAUAAGAUACCAAAUUCCAACCCAACUCUAGUAUAACACCACAUGACAGAUAAGAAAGGAAAUCACAGUAUUUUACCCCAGAAUAUGUUUUUUACCAUAUUUUGAGAAAUGACCCUACACAGCUAUCUUUUGUGGGGGAAAAUUUGCAUCUGUAAAGAAUCUCUGUUAACAUAACUAGAUCUAUUCCUUUCCAGGCCCUUCCCAUCCUGAAGAGAUUAACUGAGAGUCUAGCACCUUUUAAAGGUCUAAAUAGGAAACAUUUGCCAUCAAUUGUCACUAAGGAUAGCCACCUAAAUACUUUCUCUGGAUAAUAAGAACCUUGAUCCCCACAACCCCUUAUCUUAAUCCACACACUCCUCUCUCUUGAUUCCAGGUCUUUAGAUAAUAACUUAACUCUUUUGACCAACUGCCAAUUAAAAAAAUAUUUAAAUCCACCUAUGACCUGUAAGCUCCCCAACUCCCACCUCCCCCCACCCCACUUCAAGUUGUUCUGCCUUUCUGGACCCAACUAAUGUAUAUGUCAUAUGUAUUAAUUGAUGUCUUAAUUGUUGCUUGACUAAAAUGAGAUGACGCAGCGAAGGGUCUGGCAUAAUGUGUCUGGCACAUAAGAGCUGCUCAGCAAAUUACAGCUCUCAUCCUAGGGUCACAUAAGGCUGAAUAGUGGGCAGGAAUCUUUCUCCCAAGAACAGGGACAGAUGCCUCUUCAUAAAGCCCAAUAUAACUGAUAUAACUGCUACAAAGUGUGCCAGGGCCGCAUCUUUCCAGCAAGGAGCUGAUACCCCACACCUCCUAAUCAGCAAGCUGCACUCAUAGCCUUUUUCCCAUAGAGACAGCAAUCUGGGAGUACCCACUGCCUUGCACCCAGCAGUUCUCCAUGGGACAAGCUGUACCUAACUGUGUAUGGGCAGUGGGAGCAGGCAGCAGUUCACAGUCUCAUCUAAUCCUAGGUUUUAUUGUUACCUUUGUUUCCCAGAGGAGGUUGCACAGAUAGGAAAUUGUAACAUCAGGAUGCAGCCAGAGCCGGUGGGAUCCAGAAUACAGGCUCUUCCUCCAGCUCUGGGCAACCCCACUCAUCACUCUGAGCCCUAGCUGUCUGUUCCUUUGAAGCCUCACUGCCACUGACUCCUCUUUAAAGCCCAUUUUUAUUUGUUGUGAGUGUUUGGGUUUUGCACCCCUAGCUAGACUAUAAAUGCUAUGAAGGCAGAGAGUGUGCCUUACAGAGCUGGGGUUUAUAAUCAGGGCUCAAUGAAAUCUGGUCAAGGAAUUAUAGAAUGGACCUGUCUAAACACCAACAGUGCUGCUCCCCAGAGACCCGGGUUUCUGCAAGAAAUUCAGAGGCAAGUUUUUAUUCCCUCUGAGAAAACCCUAGCGGCUCCCACGGGCUUCCUCCCUCAGGUGCUCAACAUCUGCUCAACAAUCCUGGUUCUGGCCAGGAGCUUCUGGUGAGCUCCACGACAGCUGCAGAGGGAGGAGGGAGCAAGAAGAAAAGUAGAUGGGCAAGGUAAGAGAAUUGGGAGGCCCAUCCCCUCUGGGCAAAUCUCCAAAGAGCCUAUCUCCUGCAGGGAGAGGUCUCUGCCAGGGGCGUGGGGCAAGUGAUUCACACCUGGGAAGAAAUGCUCCGUUUCUCUCCACCAGCAUGAGUUUAGGCAGGCUCAGGAGCACAGGGGAAGGGCCAUGAGUCACUGACAAUCAAGAAAGAAUGGGGGAAUGGGACAGGACGGAACAGGUCUCCCCUAUUGUGUCAGCAUCUCCAGCCUCCCUCCUGACCCCUGUUCAGAGGCAACCAAAGGCCCAAGGCCCUUUCUAGACCUCGGUCAGGGUCUCUCAGCCUUGACACUACUGACAUAUGGGGCCAGAUAAUAUUUUGUGUAGGGCACUGUCCCAUGCACUGUAGAAUGUUUAGCAGCAUACAUGGCCUCUACCCAAGAAGUCAGUAGCACCCUCCCACCAGCUGUGGCAACCAAAGAAGUCUCCAGGCUUUGCCAAAUGUCCCCUGGAGAUUGGGAGAAAUCAGCUGGCUCAUUCUUCUUCCCUUCCUUAUUCAGAAUGUGUGGUGGGGUCUCAGCCUUAUCUCCUCUCCUCUAGCUGCCUCUUCUGAGAAAUCCCUGAAGAUGAUCUGUCAGGCCCUUAUCACAAAAGGCCUUUGCUGCUGCUUCUUCCAGGGCAGUUGGCAAGAAGUAAAUAAUGAUCAUGUAGAAGUAAAAAUUUCCAGAACUUAGAGAGGGAAGGAAGAGCCAGGAAGGGAGACAGGAGUCCCCAUCUUACGGAAACUGAAAGUCCAGAUGGACUGAGGCAGCACUGUCCAACAGAAACAUAAUGCAGGCCACAAAUAUGGGCCACCUGUGUUCAUUUUAAAUGUUUUGAGUAGCUGCAUUCAAAAAAUAGAAACAAGUGAAAUUAUUUUUGAUAAUGUAUUUAACCCAAUAUAUCCAAAAUAUUGUCAACAUGUAAUCAAUAUUUUAAAAUGAGUAAUCAAGUAUUUACAUUCUUAUUUUUCCAUACUAAGUCUUCAACAUCCAAAGUGCAUCUUCCAUUUACAACUUAUCUCAAUUUGGACCAGCCACUUUUCUAGUGCUCAAAAGCCACAUGCAGCUAGUGGCUACUAUAUUGGGCAGCACAGGACUGAGGUUUCCUUACAAAAGGUGAAGAUCACCCCCACACUUCUCCUAGCACCAAGGGGCUUCCAAAGGCCAAGACCUUAACUACACAAUGGAGCAAUCUAGUCUCCAAGUUGAUACAGUAUUUGUAACUCAGAGAACAAGAUACCCAUUUCAAGUGCCCACUACCUCAAACACCAUGUCCCCUCCUGGGCAGAUAAGGCAGCCUGCAGGUUGUCUCUCUGGUCCUUUUCAGAGACUUGGACCUCAACCAUUGUUCCACUUCACACCUCUUGUCAGGAAGAAAGUUAUAAAUCCCUAGGUUGUAAAUUACCCUAACUCCAUGCUAUACACAGACUGUUGCCUAGGAGUCAAGUACCUCCAACCACCCUGUACACACCCAGUAUUUCCCCUGGAGCUGAGUUUGCUCACCACUUCUGUGGAUCCUGCCCUGUGUACCAUUAACAAUUCCCUAACCAUUUACUCAUAUCUACUUCCUGGUAGACAGAUAAUGUCCUCGACUGAGCUGAGCACCUCUCAUAAAUUGAUAAAUCCCUAAGCCUUGCUGACAAAUUCUUUAGUUAAGGCACAAGACCUGGGAUUGAGACUCCUGAUGGAGAUUUAUAGCCUCUGGUUAUGAGAGGGAUUCUCUGCUUUCCAAUAGUUACUUUUCUGUCAAUCAUCUUCUUUUCUUUUUUUUUUUUUUUUUUUUUAAAAAACACAGGGUCUUGCUCAGUUUCCCAGGAUGGAGUGCACUGGCUCAAUUAUGGCUCAAUGCAGCCUCAACCUCCUGGGCUCAGGGGAUCCUCCCACCUCAGCCUUUCAGUAGCUGGGACUACAGGUGCACAGCACCACCCCUGGCUAAUUUUUUUUUUUUUUGUAUUUUCAGUAGAGAUGGGGUUUCACCAUGUUGCCCAAGCUGGUCUCAAACUCCUAAGCUCAAGUGAUCCACCCACCUCAGCAUCCCAAAAUGCUGGAAUUACAGGUGUGAGCCACCAUGCCUGGCCCACCUUCUUUUCUUGUUCUGCUAGGAUGUGCAUCUUGAAAUCAA